UACGUAGGGGGCAAGCGUUGUCCGGAAUCAUUGGGCGUAAAGCGCGUGUAGGCGGUUCGGUAAGUCGGCUGUGAAAGUCCAGGGCUCAACCCUGGGAUGCCGGUCGAUACUGCCGGACUAGAGUUCGGAAGAGGCGAGUGGAAUUUCCGGUGGAGCGGUGAAAUGCAUUGAGAUCGGAAAGAACACCAACGGCGAAAGCACUCUGCUGGGCCGACACUGACACUGAGAGACGAAAGCUAGGGGAGCAAAUGGG
rnacentral:rRNA from 1 species